rnacentral:lncRNA from 1 species
UAGCACUUGGUUCUGUUGGCUGGGAAAUUCAGGAUCAGGCAGCUGUAUCUGGUGGGUUCUCAUGACUGCCUCAUGCUGCAUCAAAACAUCGUAGAGAAACAGAAGGGGACCGAGUUUGUGCAAACAAAAAGCGCAAAAUAGAAGAGGCAGCACUGUUUUAUAACAACUCACUCUCUUGGGAACUAACCAUUCCCAGGAGAACCCAGUCUCAGUGUCAAGAGAAAGAUGUUAAUCCAUCUUAGCAACCUAAUUACCUCUUAAAAGCAGCAUCUCCCAACACUAUUACAUUGGCAAUUGAACUACAACGUGAGUUUUGGAGGGGCCAAACAACAUCCAAACCAUAGCAGCAGGUUUAAAGGUAAAAGGAUGGGAGAAAAGUACACAGAAAGAUAUUCUGGAGAAAAGGCACAGAGUGAGCCAAGGCACAAGGUAAAAUGUUUGACUGGUUAGAGACGCUAGAUUAUUUUGUGUGGCUAAGACAAAACAAAGCUGGUGGGGAGUGGCAGGAGGUAAGUCUAGAAUGGCACAAUGGGGCCAGACUGCGAAUGGCAAACUGAAGUAUGUGAUCUUUUAUUCUAAAGAAAAUGUAGUAUGAUUAGCACAAAAAAAAGAAAAAUUAUUGGCCGGGCGCAGUGGCCCAUGCCUGUAAUCCCAGCACUUUGGGAGGCCGAGGAGGGUGGAUCAUGAGGUCAGGAGUUCAAGACGGUGAAACUCCAUCUCUACUAAAAACACAAAAAUUAGCCAGGAGCUGUGGCAGGUGCCUGUAAUCCCAGCUACUCAGUAGGCUGAGGCAGGAGAAUCACUUGAACCCGGGAGGUGGAGGUUGCAGUGAGCUGAGAUCGCGCCACUGCACUCUAGCCUGGGCGACAGAGCAAGACUAAAAAUAAAAAUGAAAAAAUUAUUAUCCAUGGUAUUAUCAUGGUAGUACUGACUAAAAGAGGGACACGUGUAACAAAAUCAGUAAGGAGGGUACUCCAAGAAUCCAUGUUAAAGUUAAUGAGGGCUCGAACCCAAACAUAAAGGAUGGAAAUGAUGUAAUAAAAUACCUUUUGAAAGUUAUAUUUAAAAAUUUUUGGUGAAUAGUCUAGUUAGAGGUGAAAGAAGAAAGCAGAGGAGUCUAAUGCAAUGCGUGACUUGUAGCUCAGGUAAAGGGGUGGCAGGUGACGCUUAAAUACUAGAAAUAUAAGAAGCAGCACAGGUUUGGUUUUAUCUGUGAGAACAAUGGAGUGGAGGUAUGCUUUAGAUGCAAUUAUUUAUGGGAUAUUCAAAACAGAUAUCUAUGAAGCAAAAAACUUGGGCCCAAAAAACAAGUUUGAAGGUAUAUUUGGGAGUUACCAGUAAUAUAGGUAACUGUUGAAGCUCUAAAUAUAGAAGACAAACUAGAGGAGCUUGUUUCUUGAAGAAUUCUUGUCACACUUGACAUUUUUUACAGAGAUUUCUUAAAACAGGGGCAUAUCUUCUUUGGCUAACAUAUGCAGACUAAAAUGAAAGAGUAUAGUAUAUUAUAAAAUCAAUAAAAGGUAAGAUAAAUUGAGGCCUAAAAAUAAAGAAUAAAUACACUCAGUUGAUUCUGAAGCUCUAAUUUACAGAUGCAAAAUUGUACCAGUACAUUAACUCAUAUGUCAAAACAACAUCUAGAGAAACAAAAAAUGAAAGUAAAAUGGAAAAAGAUAAAAGAAGAGAGGCAAGGAGAAGAGAAUGGGCAAAAGGAGAUAGGAAAAACAGGAAUUUUUUUUUAAAGGGCUAAAAUUUUAGUGAAUCAGAUGUGGAAAACAGUUGGAUUAACAUUGAGAUCAAAUGAGAAAGGAGCAAAUAAGGAAAGAUGUAUUACAAACCAAGAGUAAAAAAGGGAAAACAAAAUAACAAAAGCAAAAACUAUUUAAAAAGAAUAAAGGAAGACGUGAUAAUGAAGUAAAUUUAAAAAGUACGGAAUAAUAAAAAGAAAUUGCAAAAAAUACCUUUUGAAAAUAAACAUACUAAUAACUUGACAAUAAAGUGAAAUGUGUAAGACAAACAUAUCUGUGUCAUUAUUUAGGAGUAGUGAAAAGUACUCUUAAAUAAUAAUUUGGUAUCUAGCAGGCCUGGAUUUGAAUCUACUUUAACUUGCUAGCUAUGUGACCUUGGGCAAGCAAAGAAACUCCUCAUAACCAUUGUAAUAAUACCACCAAAAUGCCUUACACUUACGGCUCAAAAAAUGAAGGAAAUGAGAGAAAAAAGUAUAGAUUACUAUAUGGAAGUCAAAUUUCUAGUGACUUUUCUAAUCCAAACAUGAAUUGUUACAGUACUUGAAAUAAACUUUAUGAGAACUGAGUGACUACAUUGCUUCAGAUAGUUUUAUACUGCUAGGUCAACGCUGCCUGACAGUAAUAAGAACAGGAUGUGGGAUUCAAUAUGCUCAUUCUAUCUCAAACUCUGUCACACAUACAAUGACUGCUAUUUACCUUCCUCCUGAGCCAUCUGGGAAAAAACCAACCAACCAAACAAACAAACAAAAGAAAAACCCACCAGGUAGGAGUCAGUUAGUUCUGCUAACUAACUAACCAAAAACCUUAAUUGUAUGGCCACCAGCACCCUAGCCCUUUGUCAUGAAAGCUACCAAUAAGGUGGAAAUUUAAAAUAUGAAAUAUUUCAUUAUACAUGUUUUAUUAAACCCUACAUGUGCAGAAAUGAUUGUCCAUUUUCCUUCUUAACUUGCUUUUGUAAGACUUAUUAAGUAGAAAAUAUAAAUCUCAAGCUCCUUAAAUGUGAUUUUGAGGAACUGAGACCAAAACAAUUUUUUGCUGUGGAACCAGAUCCUUGAAUGCACUACAGGAAAAUAUUAUUUGAUAUGAAAUUUUUUUGGUACACACAAUUUUUCAAAAAUAUAUCUCUCUCCACAAAGUUAAUUCAAAUUGUAGAAUUCUUCCAAGUCACAAAUGGAGUUUUCAAGGCUCUGGGUACUUACCUUUGAGUUCCACAUCCUUUAUCUCUGGAGCUCUUAACUGAGGGAACAUGGACCAUUAGGUCAUGAACAGACUUUGUAGUCUUUGAACAGCCUGAAACAGUAUGUGAUACUUGAUGUGCAUGUACACAGGAACAUUUUUCUAGAGUAAUGGCACAUACCUUUCAUCAGAUUUUCAAAGGUUUCUCAAAAUGCUCAAGAACCACUGUUAGAUAUUUAAAUAACCAGAGUGUACAGUGUCCAAAUAUUUCCAAAUUUUGACACUUGUAAGAUGUCUUAAUUAAAACAAGCCAUGAAGUUCAGCGUCACAAUAACCAGAAAAGCACUUGUGAGAGUAGUUCUAUGUCUUUACUUCCUAGUGGUUUACACACUCUUUAACCCAUAUGGCAAUCUGGCUUCUGUCUCCGGUGCUCUGGAAUUACUUCUGCCUGUAUGAUUAAGUUCCUCAUUGUUAAAUUCGAAAAUACAUUCUUUGGUAUUUAUUUGACCUCUUGGUGGUAAUAUAGUGUAAGAGCACAGACUCUGGAGCCAAACUGCCUAGGUUCAAAUCUUAGCUCUAUUACUUUCUAACUCUGUGACUUUGGGCAAAUGACUUAACUCUCUCAUGCCUCAAAGCAGAAUCCUUUGUAAGGUUUAUUUAUAUAGUGGUGUAAAGAGUACUUACUUCAAAAGCUUUGGUCAGUGUGAGAAAUAAGCUCCUAACAAAGAAAGUGUUAUGUAAUAGUUAUUAUCUGGUACCUCUGAUCACAUCAUUUUUGAAAAUCACUUGAAAUCUGCCUAAGUUUCAUUCUGCCUUUGAUGGCUCCUUAUUUUCAUCUCCCUACUUCAGGCUUCCUCCCUAAUAUAUCUUUUAUGCCAAUAUUAUGAUCACUUGAAACUAUAAAUCUGAUGCCAUCCUUGGCCACUACCAUUAAGAUGGUCUAAACUCCUCAGCAUGAUAGACAAGUCCCUUUAUGAUAGUGUACCCAUCUAGUUCUCAUUCCUCAAGUCUCCUCUGUUGUCUAUGCUUACCCUAUGGGCUAAGCUGAAUCAAGCUGUUACAUUUCCAAAACAUGCCUCACUGUCUUUAUUCAUGCCUUUGCACAUGCCAUUGACUCUUCCUAGAAUGCCCCAUUCUCCUUCUCUAGAAAGUCUUCUCUUAACAUACUUCUUCCCAAAAUAAAUUAGAUAGAAAUGUAUCUACAAAGGAUAUAUGUAUAUAAAUUAACUAGAUAACAAAACUUCACACUGAAGUGAACAUUCUACAAGUAUUUCUUUCAUUGCUGACCAUUAGGUUGCAGCAUGCAACUCUCAACAAUGAGCUGCCCCUCUCCACUCCUAUAGAAGCUCCAAAUACUAUGGUACCACUAUGUAGGUUUUCAGCCUUUCAAAGGCUUUUAUUAUGAACUUCAUCAUUACUUCAGCAGGAGCCUUUUAGGGACUUAAAAGCACUGAUUAUCUAUAAAAAGUAACUUCAUAUUUCAUGCACAAAAUUCCCAAUUGGCAGAUUUAGGUCCAUAAAAGAAAGGAAAAAAAUUAUUCUAGCUAUAUAAAUUAUCAGGAAUAAAAUAGCAUUUCUCCUUGCCUUGUUAUAAGGAAAUAAUAUAUUUUUCCUUACCAGGAAUCAGGAUAGUAUCUUUGAUGAUCCCUCAGGGUUAUAAAAUUGCUUACUGGUUAAAGUUUUUUGCCAAAGAUAUUAAGAAAUAAAAAGUUCGCUCAUUUUCCUGUGCAAUUUAAAGAAAUAUUUGCAGUAUGUACAGGAAUUUUAAGUUAUAUUGCAGACCCUGGCAAUAAUAUUUAAAAGGCCUAUUUUCCCCAUUAAAAAAUUUACCCCAUUAAAAAAGGUAAAAGGAAAUCUCCAUCAUCCCUGAGCAGAAAAGGAAAAAAUCAUGGGUACUUUAAUUAGUUAAUAGAAACCACUGUAAAUGAGUUAUCUAUCUCCAGAACAUUCUCAGAGAAUUUACACGAACUAAAACAGGAAUGAAGUGCUCUCAGAGACUUUUUCUCAGGUAAAUGUAUUUAGUAGUUUGAGUAGUUGAUCUGCAGAAACUUUAACUUUAAUUAACUACAUAGAUGAAUAUUUUUUAUUUUGAAAUUUGAGAAUGUCCUAAGAGGAUGUCUACAGGAUAUGAAACUACUGGGUGCAGGAAAAUUUUUUAAGUGUUAGCAAAUUGUGGCAAG